GCCACCACUAAGAGAGCUCACUACAUUCAGAUCAUACGGACACCACUAGAGAGAGCUCACUACAUACAGAUUAUACAGCCACCACUAGGGGGAGCUCACUACAUACAGAUUAUACAGCCACCACUAGAGGGAGCUCACUACAUACA